rnacentral:rRNA from 1 species
CCAAUAGCGUAUAUUAAAGUUGUUGCAGUUAAAAAGCUCGUAGUUGAAUUUCGGAAUCUGUCCAUCGGUCGAGCUUCACUGUUCGUACUGGUGUGGUGGGUUCUUACCUUCUGAAUAACCAGCAUGCCAUUCAUUUGGUGCGCUGGGGAAGCAGGACUAUUACCUUGAAAAAAUUAGAGUGCUCAAAGCAGGCCAGCGCCUGAAUACAUUAGCAUGGAAUAAUAAAAUAGGACGGCAUGGUUCUAUUUUGUUGGUUUCUAGGAUCACCGUAAUGAUUAAUAGGGAUAGUUGGGGGCAUUAGUAUUCAAUUGUCAGAGGUGAAAUUCUUGGAUUUAUUGAAGACUAACUUCUGCGAAAGCAUUUGCCAAGGAUGUUUUCAUUAAUCAAGAACGAAAGUUAGGGGAUCGAAGACGAUCAGAUACCGUCGUAGUCUUAACCAUAAACUAUGCCGACUAGGGAUCGGACGAUGUUAAUUUUUUAAUGACUCGUUCGGCGCCUUACG